GACGAACGCUGGCGGCGUGCUUAACACAUGCAAGUCGAACGGUGAACGAGGGAGCUUGCUCCCUCCGGAUCAGUGGCGAACGGGUGAGUAACACGUGAGCAAUCUGCCCCGAACUCUGGGAUAAGCGUUGGAAACGACGUCUAAUACCGGAUACGACGCGGGAGGGCAUCCUCUCCGCGUGGAAAGAACUUCGGUUCGGGAUGAGCUCGCGGCCUAUCAGCUUGUUGGUGAGGUAACGGCUCACCAAGGCGACGACGGGUAGCCGGCCUGAGAGGGUGACCGGCCACACUGGGACUGAGACACGGCCCAGACUCCUACGGGAGGCAGCAGUGGGGAAUAUUGCACAAUGGGCGCAAGCCUGAUGCAGCAACGCCGCGUGAGGGACGACGGCCUUCGGGUUGUAAACCUCUUUUAGCAGGGAAGAAGCGAAAGUGACAGUACCUGCAGAAAAAGCACCGGCUAACUACGUG
rnacentral:rRNA from 1 species